GUGCCAGCAGCCGCGGUAAUACGUAGGUGGCAAGCGUUGUCCGGAAUUAUUGGGCGUAAAGCGCGCGCAGGCGGUCCUUUAAGUCUGAUGUGAAAGCCCACGGCUCAACCGUGGAGGGUCAUUGGAAACUGGGGGACUUGAGUACAGAAGAGGAAAGCGGAAUUCCAAGUGUAGCGGUGAAAUGCGUAGAGAUUUGGAGGAACACCAGUGGCGAAGGCGGCUUUCUGGUCUGUAACUGACGCUGAGGCGCGAAAGCGUGGGGAGCAAACAGGAUUAGAUACCCUGGUAGUCC
rnacentral:rRNA from 1 species